UCCCAGCAGAAUUCAUACUGAUGCAACACGUGAUGAAAAGAGAUUUCAAACAUCUGUGCAGUGGACAUAAAGAAAACAAAUGCUCUGAGAACGUACAGUGUGUGGAGUGAGGCUUCCCUCCCACCUGCCUGUGGCUUCAGAAAAAAAAACAGAACAGGCCUUCUUGAUCCCUGUCAGCCAUGGAGUAACCAGGCCUUAAGGUGGAGUACUGCAAGGUUGGGGUGACGGAUGCGUCCCACAUCUUAUAAUGGAAGAUGAGGCACUAAUGGAAAGGUUCGAGGCAGUUUCAGUGCCAUCUAACGCAGGUAAUGAAACAUCGGCAAAUAGUUUCUGCCCCUUGAAGGGUGAGUCCUCGACUGUUGUCUGGACAUCCCUUGGGAACCCGGAGAGAUGGAGCUAUGAUGCACAGCACAUGACCACAGAUGUCGUGAUGGAUCAUGGUGCCGUGUCUGCCAAGUCAAGGAAGGUCUGGAGGGCUGUCCUGGCAAUGAGACACCCUUCAGAAAUGUUUGCCUUGCACUGUUCUUUUUUGU